UGAAUUCUGGGCGUUAAGGGCACGCAGGCGGUUAAUUAAGGUUGGAUGUGAAAUCCCCGGGCUUAACCUGGNAAUGGCAUUCAANACUGGCUUAGCGUAGAGAUCUUGUAGAGGGGGGUAGAAUUCCAUGUGUAGCGGAUGANAUGCGUAUCAGAUGUGGAGGAAUACCGGUGGCGAAGGCNNCCCCCUGGACAGANACUGACGCUCAUGUGCGAAAGCGUGGGGAGCAAACAGGAUUAGAUACCCUGGUACNCCA
rnacentral:rRNA from 1 species